UCAAGCUACAAAGAGCACAAGGGGAAUGCCUUGGCACCGAGAGCCGAAGAAGGACGUGACUAACUGCGAUAAGCUGCGGGGAGCCGUAAGUAGGCUUUGAUCCGCAGAUUUCCGAAUGGAGCAAUCCGGCAAGAGGAAAGUCUUGUCAUCAUAUACUGAAUACAUAGGUAUAUGAGGGGAACCGCCUGAACUGAAACAUCUAAGUAGGGCGAGGAAGAGAAAUCAACUGAGAUUCCGUAAGUAGUGGCGAGCGAACGCGGAAGAGGCCAAACCGAGAGUAGUAAUACUUUCGGGGUUCGGACAGAAAACGGUAUUGUAAAGGUUUAGUGGAAUGGAAUGGGAAGUCCAACCGAAGAAGGUGAGAGUCCUGUACACGAAAAGCCUGAACAGCCAUCUGUAUCCAGAGUACCGCCGGACACGUGAAACCCGGUGGGAAUACGGGGGGACCAUCCUCCAAGCCUAAAUACUACUCGGUGACCGAUAGUGAAGAAGUACUGUGAAGGAAAGGUGAAAAGUACCCCUGACGGGGAGUGAAAAAGAACCUGAAACCUUGUGUUUACAAGCACCGAAAGCUCAUCAAAGAGCGAUCGGGUACCUUUUGUAGAAUGGUCCGGCGAGUGAAUGUAACCGGCGAGGUUAAGCACUUAAGGUGUGAAGCCGCAGCGAGAGCAAGUCUGAAUAGGGCGUAUGAAGUCGGUUGUAUUCGACCCGAAACCGGGUGACCUACCCAUGGUCAGGUUGAAGUAAAGGUAAAACUUUAUGGAGGACCGAACCGACUCCCGUUGAAAUGGUAGCGGAUGAACUGUGGGUAGCGGAGAAAUUCCAAUCGAACCCGGAGAUAGCUGGUUCUCCCCGAAAUAGUUUUAGGACUAGCCUCAAGUUAGAUACCUGGAGGUAAAGCACUGAAUAGCCUAGCGGCCGAGAGGUUAGCGAAGCUUAUCAAACUCAGAAUGCCAGAAUAUUGAUGCCUGGGAGUCAGACAGUGUCAGAUAAAUGUCAUUGUCAAAAGGGAAACAGCCCAGAUCUACAGCUAAGGUCCCAAAGUCAGGUUAAGUGGAAAACGAUGUGAAGAUACGCAGACAACCAGGAUGUUGGCUCAGAAGCAGCCACUCAUUCAAAGAGUGCGUAAUAGCUCACUGGUCGAGCGUCUUUGCGCGGAGAAUUUAACGGGGCUAAACCUGACACCGAAGCUUAGGCAAUACAGCAAUGUAUUGGGUAGGGGAGCGUUGUAUACGCGGAGAAACAGUAGCGUAAGCGGCUGUGGAGUGUAUAGAAGUGAGAAUGCCGGAAUGAGUAGCGCGAAUGCAGUGAGAAUCUGCAUGGCCGAAAGCCUCAGGUUUUUGGAGGAAGGUUCGUCCGCUCCAAGUUAGUCGGGAGCUAAGGUGAGGCCGAAAGGCGUAGCCGAUGCACAGACGGUAGAGAUUCCGUCACCACCAAAAGAGUUAAGCACAGGGACACAUAUGAAGUCUCAGAGCCGGGUGUUGGUUCCGGUAGAGAUCGAGGGAAAUUAGUACCGAAGUCUGAGAUGGAAGAUGGCGAGAAAAGCUGUGUGUAUUUCUGAGGUGCCCGUACCGCAAACCGACACAGGUAGGUAGGAAGAAGAUUCUAAGGCCAACGGGAGAAGGGUUGUUAAGGAACUCGGCAAAUUGACCCCGUAACUUCGGGAGAAGGGGUGCUCCAGAGAUGGAGCCGCAGAGAAUCGGCCCAAGCAACUGUUUACCAAAAACACAGGUUUGUGCUAAAUCGAAAGAUGACGUAUACGAGCUGACGCCUGCCCGGUGCUGGAAGGUUAAGAGGAGAUGUGCAAGCAUUGAAUCGAAGCCCCAGUGAACGGCGGCCGUAACUAUAACGGUCCUAAGGUAGCGAAAUUCCUUGUCAGGUAAG
rnacentral:rRNA from 1 species